rnacentral:rRNA from 1 species
UAUGUGAUCGUCUCUCGCAUAUCAAUAAGCGGAGGAAAAGAAACUAACAAGGAUUCCCCUAGUAACGGCGAGUGAAGCGGGAAGAGCUCAAAUUUGAAAUCUUAAAGGGUCUCCCUUUACGAAUUGUAGUUUAAAGAAGUCGUUUUCUGUUGAGGUUUUGGUAAAAGUUCUUUGGAAUAGGACAUCAUAGAGGGUGAGAAUCCCGUAUUUGACCUUUACUUUCAACUUUGUGAUACACUUUCAAAGAGUCGGAUUGUUUGGGAAUGCAGUCCAAAAUGGGUGGUAAAUUUCAUCUAAAGCUAAAUAUUGGCGAGAGAGACCGAUAGCGAACAAGUACCGUGAGGGAAAGAUGAAAAGAACUUUGAAAAGAGAGUUAAACAGUACGUGAAAUUGUCAAAAGGGAAGCGUUUGACACCAGUGUUGUUUUUCUGAAAAUCAAUUAAAGAACUGUUUAUGCUAAGCUGUUUAGACUUUAUCAGCUAUCUGUUUAGUUUUGAGCUUUUCUUUAAUGCACUUUUCAGUUAACAAGUCAACAUCAAUUCUCUUUUGCUGUAAAAAAAGCUUGAGGAAGGUGGCUUGAGAUUCGUCUUAAGUGUUUAUAGCCUCUUGCCUAGUGCAGUCGGAGAGAUUGAGGUCUGCAGCGUAGAUCCUUCGGGGCUAAAUGCAUUUGUGCUAAGUUAUAGCAUUUUAUAGACAACUUGUUGACUAUGAUUUGUCUUGUAGCUUACUCGCUUAUGUUAUUUUACCUACGCUUAGGAUGUUGAUCUACAGAGCGAGAGU